rnacentral:rRNA from 1 species
AUGCCCACCUCCCACGGGGCUCGCCUAGGAUGUUCACCCUCAACGAGGUUCGUGACCGCUGCGGCAUCCUCCUACUGCUCACGGUCACCUUCACCAACCCGUUUGACGCACGCGAGCUCCUCGGCCAAGUCUUUUGGUGCGGCUGCGAGGCCAUCUUCUUCACCGUGUACAACAUCUACACCAACUAUGAGAGCAUCUUCCCCACUCCAGGCCAGAUGCACUCCCUUCCCUACGACGAUGAGGAGGAGGUGUGAAGUUCAAGACGGUGUUGAAGGGGCGCGCGGCCAAGGUGGAAGAAGGAGGUCAAGAUGA